GAUGAACGCUGGCGGCGUGCCUAAUACAUGCAAGUCGAACGCUUCACUUCGGUGAAGAGUGGCGAACGGGUGAGUAAUACAUAAGUAACCUGGCAUCUACAGGGGGAUAACUGAUGGAAACGUCAGCUAAGACCGCAUAGGUGUAGAGAUCGCAUGAACUCUAUAUGAAAAGUGCUACGGGACUGGUAGAUGAUGGACUUAUGGCGCAUUAGCUUGUUGGUAGGGUAACGGCCUACCAAGGCGACGAUGCGUAGCCGACCUGAGAGGGUGACCGGCCACACUGGGACUGAGACACGGCCCAGACUCCUACGGGAGGCAGCAGUAGGGAGUUUUCGGCAAUGGGGGAAACCCUGACCGAGCAACGCCGCGUGAAGGAAGAAGUAAUUCGUUAUGUAAACUUCUGUCAUAGAGGAAGAACGGUGGAUAUAGGGAAUGAUAUCCAAGUGACGGUACUCUAUAAGAAAG
rnacentral:rRNA from 1 species